UCCCCGGUAGCUCAGUCGGCAGAGCAGCUGGCUGUUAACCAGCGGGCCGCAGGUUCGAGUCCUGCCCGGGGAG
rnacentral:tRNA from 1 species